CUGCAGGAAAAGGUCAAAGGGCUGAUUGUGGUCAGCCACAAUGCUGUCUGCUCUCAAUCAUGUCCCUCUGCCUGACGGGAAGCAAGAUCAUGGAAAUGUUGAAUGACUCCGGUAGCUGAAUCACCACGUUUCUUCAGGUUUCCCCUCUGAUGCCACACUG
rnacentral:lncRNA from 1 species